rnacentral:rRNA from 1 species
UACGAAGGGGGGCUAGCGUUGUUCGGAAUCACUGGGCGUAAAGGGCGCGCAGGCGGUUCUGUUUGUCGAGUGUGAAAGCCCCGGGCUCAACCUGGGAACUGCGCUCGAAACGGCGGAACUAGAGUUCGGGAGAGGAGAGUGGAAUUCCCAGUGUAGAGGUGAAAUUCGUAGAUAUUGGGAAGAACACCGGGUGGCGAAGGCGGCUACUC